CGGGUUGUAAACCUCUUUCAGUAGGGAAGAAGCGAAAGUGACGGUACCUGCAGAAGAAGCACCGGCUAACUACGUGCCAGCAGCCGCGGUAAUACGUAGGGUGCGAGCGUUAUCCGGAAUUAUUGGGCGUAAAGAGCUCGUAGGCGGUUUGUCGCGUCUGUCGUGAAAGUCCGGGGCUUAACCCCGGAUCUGCGGUGGGUACGGGCAGACUAGAGUGCAGUAGGGGAGACUGGAAUUCCUGGUGUAGCGGUGGAAUGCGCAGAUAUCAGGAGGAACACCGAUGGCGAAGGCAGGUCUCUGGGCUGUAACUGACGCUGAGGAGCGAAAGCAUGGGGAGCGAACAGGAUUAGAUACCCUGGUAGUCCAUGCCGUAAACGUUGGGCACUAGGUGUGGGGACCAUUCCACGGUUUCCGCGCCGCAGCUAACGCAUUAAGUGCCCCGCCUGGGGAGUACGGCCGCAAGGCUAAAACUCAAAGGAAUUGACGGGGGCCCGCACAAGCGGCGGAGCAUGCGGAUUAAUUCGAUGCAACGCGAAGAACCUUACCAAGGCUUGACAUGUUCUCGAUCGCCGUAGAGAUACGGUUUCCCCUUUGGGGCGGGUUCACAGGUGGUGCAUGGUUGUCGUCAGCUCGUGUCGUGAGAUGUUGGGUUAAGUCCCGCAACGAGCGCAACCCUCGUUCCAUGUUGCCAGCACGUAAUGGUGGGGACUCAUGGGAGACUGCCGGGGUCAACUCGGAGGAAGGUGAGGACGACGUCAAAUCAUCAUGCCCCUUAUGUCUUGGGCUUCACGCAUGCUACAAUGGCCGGUACAAUGGGUUGCGAUACUGUGAGGUGGAGCUAAUCCCAAAAAGCCGGUCUCAGUUCGGAUUGGGGUCUGCAACUCGACCCCAUGAAGUCGGAGUCGCUAGUAAUCGCAGAUCAGCAACGCUGCGGUGAAUACGUUCCCGGGCCUUGUACACACCGCCCGUCAAGUCACGUAAUAGUUGGUAACACCCGGAAGCCGGUGGCCUAACC
rnacentral:rRNA from 1 species